UGGCUCUGAGGUGGAGAUUAUGUCCCGACCACGCGCCCUUGUGGCUAAAAGAGAUGCAGGAUUAUAGGGACGCCUGCCAGAGCCA
rnacentral:ncRNA from 1 species